GACGAACUCUGGCGGCGUGCUUAACACAUGCAAGUCGAACGAAGUGGCGAACGGGUGAGUAACGCGUAAUCAACCUGCCCUUCAGAGGGGGACAACAGUUGGAAACGACUGCUAAUACCGCAUACUGAAGGAGGGGAUUGCGUCUGAUUAGCUAGUUGGAGGGGUAACGGCCCACCAAGGCGAUGAUAAGUCGCCGGUAUGAUAGGCUGAACGUCCAGAUUGGGACUGAGACACGGCCCAGAACCCUACGGGGGGCAGCAGUGGGGAAUCUUCCGCAAUGGACGAAAGUCUGACGGAGCAACGCCGGGUGAGUGAUGAGGGCCUUCGGGUUGGAAAGCUCUGUGAAUCGGGACGCGGUACCGGAAUAGAAAGCCACGGCUAACUACGUGCCAGCCGCCGCGGUAAUAC
rnacentral:rRNA from 1 species